GACGAACGCUGGCGGCGUGCUUAACACAUGCAAGUCGAACGGAAAGGCCCUGCUUUUGUGGGGUGCUCGAUUGGCGAACGGGUGAGUAACACGUGAGUAACCUGCCCUUGACUUUGGGAUAACUUUAGGAAACUGGGGCUCAUAUCGGAUAGGAUCUCCUGCUGCAUGGUGGGGGUUGGAAAGUUUCGGCGGUUGGGGAUGGUCUCGCGGCUUAUCAGCUUCUUUGUGGGGUAGUUGCUUACCAAGGCUUUGACGGCUAGCCGGCCUGAGAGGGUGGACGGCGACAUUGGGACUGAGGGAGGGACCAGACUCCUACGGUAGGCAGCAGUGGGGAAUCUUGCACAGUGGGCGGAAGCGUGAUGCAGCAACGCCGCGUGCGGAAUGACGGCCUUCGAGUUGUGAACCGCUUUCGCCUGUGACGAAGCGGGAUUGACGGUAAUGGGUAAAGAAGCAACGGCUAACUACGUG
rnacentral:rRNA from 1 species